rnacentral:rRNA from 1 species
GUGGGGAAUAUUGGACAAUGGGGGGAACCCUGAUCCAGCCAUGCCGCGUGUGUGAAGAAGGCCUUUUGGUUGUAAAGCACUUUAAGCGAGGAGGAGGCUACCGAGAUUAAUACUCUUGGAUAGUGGACGUUACUCGCAGAAUAAGCACCGGCUAACUCUGUGCCAGCAGCCGCGGUAAUACAGAGGGUGCAAGCGUUAAUCGGAUUUACUGGGCGUAAAGCGCGCGUAGGUGGCCAAUUAAGUCAAAUGUGAAAUCCCCGAGCUUAACUUGGGAAUUGCAUUCGAUACUGGUUAGCUAGAGUAUGGGAGAGGAUGGUAGAAUUCCAGGUGUAGCGGUGAAAUGCGUAGAGAUCUGGAGGAAUACCGAUGGCGAAGGCAGCCAUCUGGCCUAAUACUGACACUGAGGUGCGAAAGCAUGGGGAGCAAACAGGAUUAGAUACCCCGGUAGUCC